UACGGGGGGGGCAAGCGUUGUUCGGAAUUACUGGGCGUAAAGGGCUCGUAGGCGGCCAACUAAGUCGGAUGUGAAAUCCCCCAAGCUUAACUUGGGAACUGCAUCCGAUACUGGAUGGCUUGAAUCCGGGAGAGGGAUGCAGAAUUCCAGGUGUAGCGGUGAAAUGCGUAGAUAUCUGGAGGAAUACCGGUGGCGAAGGCGGCAUCCUGGACCGGCAUUGACGCUGAGGAGCGAAAGCUAGGGGAGCAAACGGG
rnacentral:rRNA from 1 species